GUUUUAUAUAUUCUGCUAUUAUAUAUGAGUGUAUGUACUUUUUUUUUGCCGUCUAAAUUUAUUAUUUAUUACAAAUUAUGAAAACUGUUACAUAGACGAUUCUACUACACACAAUUCCUUCCGACCUUUAUUAGAUCCACGACAGACGACACAUUCUUCUCAUUCUCCAUGCGUUUGAUGGAUAUCUUCAACAUUUUCUCUGCGUAAAAUCUUGGCGAACGGCUAUAAUUGUACUUCGUUGUAGACCUCAUGUACACUUGCCUCCAUUAAUCUGCAAAUUUGCUAAUAAACUGUAGUAGCUAGAACUCGAACCCCAGACCUCUUGGUGUAGAAACAUUAAUGAACAUUUGGUCAACUAUUGGGCCAAGGGGGCUUCCACAGUGUAUGUGUAUGUACUUCUUAAUAAUAUUUU
rnacentral:sRNA from 1 species